UGGGGAAUUUUGGACAAUUGGGCGAAAGCCUGAUCCAGCAAUGCCGCGUGUGUGAAGAAGGCCUUCGGGUUGUAAAGCACUUUUGUCCGGAAAGAAAUCCUUGGCUCUAAUACAGUCGGGGGAUGACGGUACCGGAAGAAUAAGCACCGGCUAACUACGUGCCAGCAGCCGCGGUAAUACGUAGGGUGCAAGCGUUAAUCGGAAUUACUGGGCGUAAAGCGUGCGCAGGCGGUUUGCUAAGACCGAUGUGAAAUCCCCGGGCUCAACCUGGGAACUGCAUUGGUGACUGGCAGGCUAGAGUAUGGCAGAGGGGGGUAGAAUUCCACGUGUAGCAGUGAAAUGCGUAGAGAUGUGGAGGAAUACCGAUGGCGAAGGCAGCCCCCUGGGCAAGUACUGACGCUCAUGCACGAAAGCGUGGGGAGCAAACNGGAUUAAUNCCCUGGUAGUCCACGCCCUAAANGAUGUCAACUAGUUGUUGGGGAUUCAUUUCCUUAGUAACGUAGCUAACGCGUGAAGUUGACC
rnacentral:rRNA from 1 species